rnacentral:telomerase_RNA from 1 species
AAGCUGAAGAACGUAAGGGUGGAAAGGGACCGUUGUAGCCUCGAUAAUUUCCAACCCUAAACCCGCCUUGGUUUGGGUGAACAUCUGUUGAGGUCUUUUUCUAGUGUUUCCCUCGUGUGGUUAAAAAAAGAAAAACUAAUGCCCAACGAGUGCUGUCUCGCAAGAGGAGUAGAAGGUCGGGUUGGGUAUGCUUUAAUGUGUGCUAACAGCUACCAGAUCCUCGCUUCUUGGCCACCUAAUUUUUUUUUU